AGCUUGCUCACAGGCACAUCAUAUCCAUAACACCUGUGCACUUGUCGGAUGGCUUAGUGAAGACCGCAAGGUUGGAUCUAUCCAUCUACUUUACAUAACAAUUCUGUAACAAAUGUAGUCUUAUUAUAACAUAAUAAAACUUUCAACAACGGAUCUCUUGGCUCUCGCAUCGAUGAAGAACGCAGCGAAAUGCGAUAAGUAAUGUGAAUUGCAGAAUUCAGUGAAUCAUCGAAUCUUUGAACGCACCUUGCGCUCCUUGGUAUUCCGAGGAGCAUGCCUGUUUGAGUGUCAUGAAAACCCUCAACCCUAGAUUGGUUAAAACCUUUCUUUGGUUUGGAUUUGGACGUUUGCCGAUGAUAAGUCGGCUCGUCUUAAAAGUAAUAGCUGGAUCUGUCUCGCGACAUGGUUUGACUUGGCGUAAUAAGUAUUUCGCUAAGGACAUCUUCGGAUGGCCGCGUUGCAGGACUAAAGACCGCUUUCUAAUCCAUUGAUCUUACGAUUAAUAUUCUUGACAUCUGGCCUCAAAUCAGGUAGGACUACCCGCUGAACUUAAGCAUAUCAAUAAGCGGAG
rnacentral:rRNA from 1 species